UUCAUCCAUCAGUCAACGUCAAAGUGAAGUCGAUAAAUAUUGUAAAAUAAUUCUAAAUUAAAUAAAAUAUUGCAAUGGACAAGGAAUUGACUGGUGGCGGAGCUGGUGAAUAUUUAUACCUCGAAAAUGCCUCGAAACGGAACUUUUGAGUGUAUCAUAAGUUUGCUGGGAAGCGCGGCCAGCAGCUUUGAAGUACCAUUUGGUGGUGAUAACAGUGAUAAUAACGGUGAAGAAACUUAAUAUUAAUAAAAGAAACCUUUAAGUAUA